UACGGGGGGGGCAAGCGUUGUUCGGAAUUACUGGGCGUAAAGGGCUCGUAGGUGGCCAACUAAGUCGGACGUGAAAUCCCUCGGCUUAACCGGGGAACUGCGUCCGAAACUGCUGUGCUUGAGUGUGGGAGAGGCGCGUGGAAUUGCAGGUGUAGCGGUGAAAUGCGUAGAUAUCUGCAGGAACACCCGUGGCGAAGGCGGCUUGCUGGGCCAGUUCUGACGCUGAGGAGCGAAAGCGUGGGGAGCGAACAGG
rnacentral:rRNA from 1 species